rnacentral:tRNA from 1 species
CUUGGUGAAAUCGGUAGACACAACAGAUUUAAAAUCUGUUGAUCUAAUUUGGUCGUGAGGGUUCAAGUCCCUCCAUCCCC